rnacentral:rRNA from 1 species
AGCGUAGACGGUAUGGCAAGUCUGAUGUGAAAGGCCAGGGCUCAACCUUGGGACUGCAUUGGAAACUGUCGAACUAGAGUGUCGGAGAGGCAAGUGGAAUUCCUAGUGUAGCGGUGAAAUGCGUAGAUAUUAGGAGGAACACCAGUGGCGAAGGCGGCUUGCUGGACGAUGACUGACGUUGAGGCUCGAAAGCGUGGGAGCAAACA